GUCCAGUCACAUGUGGGUGUCCUCACUAGUUUAGAAAGAUAAAGUAAGAGAGGCAUCUGAAAAUAACACAUAACAAUCAGGAAGAUGUUAAACUCGUAAAGAUUCUUGUUGUAGGUCGUUGGAAGAGGAUUGAGAUAUAACUACAUGUCCCAUGAUGCCUCGCUUUGGAGAUGACCAAAUGGAACACAGAGCGGACCAGCCGUUGUGACAGCUGAGCUUCAAGUUUACUGAGGAAAACUUUAGCGCCGAUAACGACGUUGAAUAGACAAAAUAAACAUUAGUUGAGGCGAAGACAUCCUCCCCUCCUUGUAAUCCUGCAGGCGGGGAGCUUGCAGCAGUGACAAUGGCUUCAGACAGCAGAGACUCACGGAAGGUGCACCCUCUGUACAAACAUACACUGGUGGGAAAUGAAUGGCACCUUUUGUGUGCAAAACGCAAAUUAUUCACUGUGUGUUCAAAACAACUGGCAUCACUCAUGGAAAAUAGAAAACACUGCUAACACAAAAUGAGCUAUUAUGUACUGUAUGAAGUCAGGAGCACAUGAUUACCCUUCAUGUCAUACAGCCAAGGGGACAUAAUAAUUAAUCUGUCUUCGGUUGUCUCUUAUGACCUUCACACAACUUUUCAGUUAUAACAAAAACAUAUUAACAAACAUGUAAGUUUGAAGGAACUUUGUUUAAAAUUAAUAACAUCACAAUGCAUUCAAACA